GAUGAACGCUGGCGGCGUGCCUAAUACAUGCAAGUCGAACGCUGGAGAUCUAGCUUGCUAGAUCGAAGGAGUGGCGAACGGGUGAGUAAUACAUAAGCAACCUACCUACGAAGACUGGGUUAAUCUCUGGAAACGGGGACUAAUACCGGAUAGGUAAUCGGAAGGCAUCUUCUGGUUAUUAAAGGUUAAAAACACUGGUGGAUGGGCUUAUGGCGCAUUAGUUAGUUGGUGAGGUAACGGCCCACCAAGACGAUGAUGCGUAGCCGGCCUGAGAGGGUGAACGGCCACAUUGGGACUGGGACACGGCCCAGACUCCUACGGGAGGCAGCAGUAGGGAAUUGUCGGCAAUGGGGGCAACCCUGACCGAGCAACGCCGCGUGAGUGAAGACGGCCUUCGGGUUGUAAAGCUCUGUUGUAAGGGAAGAACGGUAGAUAGAGAAUAUCUAAGUGGCGGUACCUUACCAGAAAGCCACGGCUAACUACGUG
rnacentral:rRNA from 1 species